rnacentral:rRNA from 1 species
GCCUGCCCUGUGACCAAAAGUUUAACGGCCGCGGUAUUUUGACCGUGCGAAGGUAGCGCAAUCACUUGUCUCUUAAAUGGGGACCCGUAUGAAUGGCAUAACGAGGGCUUAGCUGUCUCCUUUUUCAAGUCAAUGAAAUUGAUCUCCCCGUGCAGAAGCGGGGAUAAUCACAUAAGACGAGAAGACCCUAUGGAGCUUUAGACACCAAGACAGACCAUGUUAAACACCCCUAACUAAAGGACCAAACUAAAUGACCACCUGUCCUAAUGUCUUCGGUUGGGGCGACCGCGGGGAAACACAAAACCCCCACGUGGAAGGGGAGCACCUCCACUCCUACAACCAAGAGCUUCCGCUCUACUAAACAGAAAAUCUGACCUUAAGAUCCGGCAAAGCCGAUCAACGGACCAAGUUACCCUAGGGAUAACAGCGCAAUCCCCUUCUAGAGCCCAUAUCGACAAGGGGGUUUACGACCUCGAUGUUGGAUCAGGACAUCCUAAUGGUGCAGCCGCUAUUAAGGGUUCGUUUGUUCAACGAUUAAAGUCCUACGUGAU